UGAGCGGAUAACAAUUUCACACAGGAAACAGCUAUGACCAUGAUUACGCCAAGCUAUUUAGGUGACACUAUAGAAUACUCAAGCUAUGCAUCCAACGCGUUGGGAGCUCUCCCAUAUGGUCGACCUGCAGGCGGCCGCGAAUUCACUAGUGAUUAGAGUUUGAUCCUGGCUCAGAUUGAACGCUGGCGGUAGGCUUAACACAUGCAAGUCGUGCGAGAAAGUAUCUUCGGAUAUGAGUAGAGCGGCGGACGGGUGAGUAACGCGUAGGAAUCUACCUAGUAGAAGGGGAUAGCCCGAGGAAACUCGGAUUAAUACCGUAUACCUCCUUCGGGAGAAAGAAGGCCUCUCUUCGAAGCUUUCGCUACUAGAUGAGCCUGCGUAAGAUUAGCUUG
rnacentral:rRNA from 1 species